AAAAGAAAUGAGGGAGAAAUCAUUGAUGAAGGAAAAGACUGGAAAGCGAGUGAAUGACUCGGCGACUGUAGUGAUGCCACUGUUGAAUGGAGAGGAUCCUGAUGGAGUGAAUGAGGAGGGGAUGAGUUCACUUUAAUAAAACAAGACCCACCCACAAGUGUCAAUCACUCUGACAUCAUCAACAUUCAUCUACAACAAAUCAUUUUUAUGCUCAUUGCUAUUUCUUAUUACUCUGACUUUACCAACAGAUAUAAAGAAUAUAUUUUCAUCUUUAUUUUGUUUGGCAAAUUUUUUAUCCGUAAACAAAAAUCUUACUAUUUCACAUUUUCUGAUUGAGGUUGACUCAAUGCUCAUCUUUUUGUUUGACUGGCAAAACAAAGUGUGUCAGGUGUUUUAAACUAUACGAAAAAUUAAUUUCUAUUGACUUUAGUAACUUAAGUUCAGACAACUCUUUCUUCUUAUUCUAGUUUUGCCCUUAUUGUAAUCUACCUACCCUUUUAUUGUUUUAGUUUUCUGUAUCAUAUGUAUACAGUUAUUCUUGCUUAUAUCUUCUUUUCUUUUGAUCAUUUUCAAAAAAAAAAAAAAAAAAAAAAAAAAGAAGAGCCUCUAGAAUCCGUCCAGGGAAAGCGAGAAAUGUUAAACUCAUGUAACAAGCUUCUUUGUCAUUUUAUUAAUGUUACACUUAGCUUCACAUAAUCCUAGUUUGACUGGUUUGAUUUUGUGUGAUUGUAGACACUGUCAGAACGUGUCAAAUGUGCUUUUAAUAAGACAUUUUAACACCGCAGUGUUUCAUUAACCAUUGUAUUCUCUGUUUUAUAUGAUUAACACCAGUGCCAGAUUAAUAUUGAUGUCCAGUGUUGAUGAUUGCAGUCUGUUUCUAAAGCUUAAGCACUUAAAAUUAGCCUCAUAGCACUUGUAUCAGAAACAUGAAAAAAAAAUUUUUUUUAAUAAAACGCUUUGUUCCAUUCUAGUAGUGAUGUAAUACCACAUGUAUUUUGCUUCAUUAAAUUUGACGACUGCAUGUGUUUGAUGAAUAAUGUUCAUGUUAUUGAUAUAUCUCUGAUCUUAAUGUUUGGAUAAUGUCUGUCCUUUGGUGGACAAACACUGAUAGAGCAUUUGCUUCCUAACAGCUGUCUUUGAAUGCAACACAUAAACAAUAUGCCUAUAUAGACAUUUGUAUGUACUAAAUAUAAUUAAAAAAAACAUUGUGUGAAACGUA